CCUACGGGUGGCAGCAGUGGGGGAUAUUGCACAAUGGGGGGAACCCUGAUGCAGCGACGCCGCGUGGGUGAAGGAGCGUUUCGGCGCGUAAAGCCCUAUCGGCAGGGAAGAAGGAGGACGGUACCUGACUAAGAAGCCCCGGCUAAAUACGUGCCAGCAGCCGCGGUAAUACGUAUGGUGCAAGCGUUAUCCGGAUUUACUGGGUGUAAAGGGAGCGCAGGCGGCUCGUUAAGACUGGUGUGAAAGCCCGCGGCCCAACCGCGGGACUGCAUUGGGAACUGGCGCGCUGGAGUGCCGGAGGGGUAGGCGGAAUUCCUAGUGUAGCGGUGAAAUGCGUAGAUAUGAGGAGGAACACCAGUGGCGAAGGCGGCCUACUGGACGGUGACUGACGCUGAGGCUCGAAAGCGUGGGGAGCAAACAGGAUUAGAUACCCCUGUAGUC
rnacentral:rRNA from 1 species